AUCAGCCAUGAUUGAUGGGCUGAAUGGCCUAAUUUCUGCUCCUAUGUCUUAUUGUCUUAAAACUGUUUGCAGUACUCCAACUGUAGUCUGAAUAGUGCCUUAUACAGUUUUUUGCAAACCUCCCUACUGAAUACUCCAUUCCCUUGGAAACAAAAUUCAACAUUCCAUUUAUCUUCCCUUUUACUCACUGAACUUGGAUGCUAUCUUUGUGAUUCAGGGACAAAGACUCCCAAAUCCUUCUGAUAUAUAGUUUUCUGCAGGUUUUUUUCUCCUUCUGUAAAUAAUAUUUAGCACUGUAUUCUUCCUGUCAAGAUGCAUAAUCUCACAACUUCCCACAUUAUGUUUCAAGUUUUAUGCCCAGUUGGUUAACCUCUCUAAAUUCCUCUGCCGACUCUUUGCAUCAUCUUCACCACUUGCUUUUCCACCCAUUUUUUAUGUAAUCUGCAAACUUAGUAAUAGUACAUUCACUUUCUUCAUCUGAGUUGUUAAUGUAUAUUGUAAAUAAUUGUGUUCCCAGCACAGAUCCUUGUGGUGCACAAGUAAUUGCAGGUUGCUAUCCUGAAAAUCAACUCUACAACCUCCCCCCUCCAAACAUAUCUGUCCUCUAUAAGUUAGCUAAGAUACAAUAUCUUAUUCAGUACCUUCUGAGAAUUCUGGUAAAUGUAGUCAGACAUGAUUUCCUUUUCAGUCUGACUCAGCUUGAUCAUAUUAUGUAUUUCUAAAUACUUUGCUAUUACAUCCUUUAUUAUAGACUCUAAUGUUUCCCAAUAACAGAUGUUAAGCUAACAAACUAAUUUGGGUGUUGUUUUCCAAAUAGGUGCUCUGUAAUCCUUUGUCUUCAUGAGCUUCCAUUUCCCCCAUUCCAAACCUCCCCCUAUCCAUGAAUUAAUUUAAAGCUCCCUAUACAGCCCUAGUCAUUUGAUUCACCAAAAACUAAUCCGAUCACGGUACAAGUGAAGCUCAUCCCACCUGCACAGCUCCAUUCUCCCCCUAUUAUGGUGCUACUGCCCUACACACUGAAAGACAUUCUUCCCAUGCUAAACUUCGAACCAAGCAUUUAACUGCUUGACUUUAUUUUCUCAAUAUCAGUUUCCUGCAGCACAGGUAAUAAUCCAGAGGUUAUUACCUGGGAGGUUCUGCUUUUUAAAUUAGCUUUUAACUGUUCAAAAUCUUUCAGCAAAACCUCCUUCCUAGUCCUAUCAAUGUCAGUGGACCCAACAUGGAUGAAUACUACUGAGUCUGCCCUCUCCAUCUCAAAUUCUCCUCCAACUACACAACUACAUUCCUAUUUUCUCCCCCACUUAACUGGCUCCCUGUGUCAAGUUUCUGUGGUCAUUUUGCUCAUCCUACCUACAGUCCCCAAUCUUGUUUGCACAGCUUACAAGAACCUCAUAGCUCUUGGACAAUUGAAGGGGCUCAGUUUUAACCCUCAUACCUGCCUUACAUCCAGUCACACCCUUCUGUCUCUAGUCACAGGCAUAGUUUGAGGGAUGUGACUGCUAUCUCAUGCAAACUGUCCAGGUAACUUUCCCCUUCCCUGAUGUGGCAUUGUGUCUGCAGCUCUUCAACUUGGAUCCAAAGUUCCUCGAGCUGCAUCCACUUCAUAUAGGUGUGUUCACUCUUGAUCACAUUGGUGUCCAACAGUUUCCACAUGUUCUGUCAUCGCUAUCAUAUUUGAUACAACUUGUAAAUUAAUUAUUUGAGAUUCCCUGUUCUCUAUAAUGAUGUUCAUCUUAAAUAUUAUCAUAUUACUGUAUUUUUUUUAUUUUCCUUAAAUCUCAAACCAGCAUACAAGAGACCAAGUAAGUGAGUGACAAGAUUAUCCCCUUCAUGUAAAUAGUGUUCUACAUUUGAUAAAGGAUUCACUUUGUACUUUUGGUAGAGCUGAAGGUUUCCAGUCUCUGACAUUAUGUAAAUGAAACAUAUGAGAUAUGAUUUAUCCACAUCACUGGUUUAGAUGUUCAACUCCAGUUUUUAACUAAUCCUCUUAACUCUUGAUCUGACACAGGCUCUAAAGGUUUUGCGAACUGCUGAGUUUGCCCCAUUUGUCGUUUUCAUUGCUGCACCAACCAUUACUCCAGGCAUGACUGAGGAUGAAUCUCUCCAGCGUUUGCAGAAGGAAUCAGAAAUUUUACAGAAAACAUAUGCACACUACUUCGAUCUAACCAUAAUCAACAAUGAAAUAGAUGAGACCAUCAGGCAUCUGGAAGAAGCCAUUGAACUUGUGUGUACCACACCACAGUGGGUCCCUGUAUCCUGGGUAUAUUAAGGACCAGACAGAAAAAUCAUGAACUUUAUCAUUCCCUAGCACCAUCCUGACAUUAGACUUUGUAAAUGACCUCGCAUCAAGUCUUACCCCUUAUAGACAGUCUAGGAUUAGUGUGCCCUAAUUUUUUUUUGACUAUUGUCAUGUCCUACUAGAUGGAUGGAGAGAUAAACAUUACCAAACUCUUACAGUGACAGUGUCCCUUUUUAAAGCUGUGUGAGGCUUGCAAUUGUUAUUAAAAAUUCAGAUCUACAUAUGCUUUCUGAUCUGUAUGGAUCCAAUAAUUCCACAUGGUCCUCAAAACUUAUGCAAACUCUUGUUACCUCCAAGUUUUUCAAGUAAAUUUUAAAUGCCACCAACCUAUCCAGAUUUAUUUGGAAAAUAUUUUUAAAAUAAUAUAAAUAUAUUUAAUUUAUCAUUAAUGGAGUCCAACAACCUUGCUGGCUAGUUGAAAUUUAAUUUCAUUAUGGUGAUAAAACAUUGCACGUGCAGAAUAAAAUCUUCUGGUUUAGUCGCCAAAUGAAGAUCAAAAAAUAUGAGCACAAGCAUUAAUUGAAGUUUUUGAGUCUGCAAAGUUACAGUAGUCAGAGCGUGAAGUAAAUUUAGAUUUGAAUUUUUUCAUAAAUAAACCAAUCAGGGCUAUUAAAGGGAUACCGUCAUUUGCAAUUUAAAGAUGUACAAACAUUUUAGGAUUUGAAUCAGGAUUUACUGCAUGUGGACAGUUACAAGCAUUCAUGCUGUUGGUGUAUCUGUGUUGGAAACUGUAUUCUACAGCAACGUACAUUCCAUUUGUUGGAAAAUUACCCAAGGGAAUUAUUGUUCAAAAAACUGUAAACCUAUGCACAUCUCUUGCAUUGUGGGCAAGUUUAUAAAUGACUGAUUUUUAAUCAUGUAGUGAAAUGUGUUUGUACUUUGUUGCAAUUUAAUUUGUUCUAAGGGGAAGAAUUAAGAGUUUUGCCAUUUCAAAUGUGUGUUGUCUUUGAAUAUAAAUAUUUUAAUUA